rnacentral:lncRNA from 1 species
UCUUAAUAUAAACGUUUAAAAUUCCUGUGUAAAUUUCUAGUUUGCAAAAAAUUUCAUAAAAAUUAGUAAAAUAUCUGCUCCAUAAGUCUAAGUUAAUAUUUUGAGAUACCGAAAAAGUACAUUAUGCGUAAUGCGCUAUCACAAAAACAGGUUCAACCACUAACAGAGACAAGUUGUUUCUGUAGAGAACAGAAAGGAGAUCUGAUACAAACUAAAUCGGAACCGAAUUGUUCAUUAAAAUACGUCAUACUGCGUCUUGGCGUUUAGCAAAGUAGCGGAGAGGAAGAGGAGGUAUAAGGCUGUAAGAGGGCAAAAACCUGGUGCAGACUCUCAGGUCAGAUGGUGAGGGCUGAUUGCGGGAGGUGGACAAGAAGUCUGGCCUAAUGACUAAGGACAGCUAACGCCUAACUCCGUUCCUCAUCACUCCACCUGGGUAAGAGCAUUUGGUGCAACGAGCCAGUUUCGAGCCUGUGAAGGACCGUGGGGCAAGGUGACCGAUGCCGCUACCUCUUUGUCAUUCAGUAGCCCUCUUUACCUGUUUUGGCCUCGCUGCUAGGGCUGUCGCCGAGCUUACACGGACUCCAGGUGAUGAGUUUUUCUUGAGUCACUGCAAAGGCAGUUUCACUAGGCUUCACUUUUCUUUCUCGCGGUUUUCGGCCAGGUCUCUCCUGAGACACUCCUAUCUCCCGGUCCCGACACCAGCACCAAGCGCUCAGGUAAACGUCCCAAGUAAGACAAAGGCAAUCUACAUCAGGGCCUGCUAGCGGCGUGAAGGAGGGAGGGACUCAGAGCAUCAAAGUCAGUCCACAACGGGCGGGGUUCAGUUAAAUUGUGUCUCCAGCGAUCUAUUAGACCCGUCCUCUUCAAUAUGGCGCAUUGAACCCGGCUGACAAAAAAAAAAAAAAAAAAAAAAAAAAAA